CUAAGAGCAGCUGCCUUCCUGGACCCACCUUAACCUCUUGCGACUCAACUCCCCUUUCCAGGGUGCAGGGAACAUUCCCUCUGCCCUGCCUUCCAGCUCUGGCCACAGUGGCCUGGACAGAGUAGCUGGGUCCCAGGCCUGCCCCUGUGGACGAGGGACCAGGGACCAAGAGCGCACUCCAGCCCUGAGCCCAGAGCCUGCAAAGCCCAAAGCGAGGCCCAUAAACGGAGGCUACGGAGGAAGUACCUGCAGCGCCGGUGCCUCGAGGCACUGCUUCACGGGCUGCGGGGUUCCCAGCAGGCCAGGUGCCUGGCAGUGGCAUGGCAGCACUGGGUGGAUGCCCAAGGGGCAGAGCAGCUGGUGCGGACCCUGCUCAGGGAGUGGCACCUGAGAUGGGCCUGGCAGACGUGGUGGCAGCGGAUCCUGCGACUGCGAGUGGCUCAGCAGUUACAGCAGCAGGAAGAUGGGCCUUGAAGAAGUGGCACCAACGCCUGGCAGCCAGGAGCCCAAGGAGAGGAGCUGCCAGUAGCCCGAGACCCUGGAGCAAGCCAGGACCCAAGGGCCCCGAGAGUGGACAGGAAGCCGCCGGAGCACCGCGGGGUUGGGGGCUUGGGGCACAGCAUGGGGCCCAGCUGCAGCUGUGACUUGUUCUCAUAGAAUAAAAAGCAGAACCGAACUUAGCCUUCCCAGGGAAGGAACCAUGCCCCACACAUCCAGGGAGUGAUGACAGAGGGGACAGCUUGAAGAGCUCUGAAGGACAAUAAAACCCACUCCUCAGUCCUA
rnacentral:sRNA from 1 species